UCUUAUCCGGAGUGGUGGAGGGACUGGCCCAAUGAAACCCGGCAACCAGCCUCGUAGCGAGGUAUGGUGCUAAUUCCUGCAGGAGUCCAAACUUCUGACAGAUAAGA
rnacentral:ncRNA from 1 species